rnacentral:lncRNA from 1 species
GUAACAUCACCAGACUGGGACUGUCAUGGUGCCAGGUAACAUAGCUUUGACUGGGACUGUCAUGGUGCCAGGUAACAGACUGGGACUGUCAUGGUGCCAGGUAACAUUAGGCUGUAUGAAACAGACUGGGACUGUCAUGGUUCCAGGUAACAUUAGGCUGUUUGAAACAGACUGGGACUGUCAUGGUGCCAGGUAACAUCAGGCUGUUUGAAACAGACUGGGACUGUCAUGGUGCCAGGUAACAUCAGGCUGUUUGAAACAGACUGGGACUGUCAUGGUGCCAGGUAACAUUAGGCUGUUUGAAACAGACUGGGACUGUCAUGGUUCCAGGUAACAUCAGGCUGUUUGAAACAGACUGGGACUGUCAUGGUGCCAGGUAACAUCAGGCUGUUUGAAACAGACUUUCAGACCAUUAAGGAGAGAGCGG